GUUGUUGCAGACAAUAUAACAAUGGCCAAGGGAGAGGACUCUCACACGGAAAUUGCCCGCGUUCGCCAGAAGGACGGCAUCAACGUGAUCUUUGACCGCAGCAGCGCUGCCGCUUCGCGCUCCCGUUCACGAUCCAAAAGCAGCAGACGCUCCAGCGGCUCCGGUCGCCACAGGGGGCGCAGCAACCGCCGGCAUCGCCGGUGUUCGUCGUCUUCAUCCAGCAGCAGGUCCUCCUCCCGCUCUCGCUCCCACCCCCGUUGCCACAGACCGUCUUCCCGCUGUCGCUGUGACAACCAUCGCAGACAUGGCCGCCGAUCCGCGCCACGCCGCCAUAUGGAAAGCUCUGACUCCCCCUCCCCCUCCAGGCACUCUCGUCACCGACGCAACAGGUCCCGCUCCAGCAGGUCCGGCCGGGCAGUUAGCCGGUUCUCCCAGUCCCCGCCCAGAAACCACAGGAGCAGCUCUGGAUCCGAAUAUUCCGAAAAUUCCGUUGACCUGAGUAUUGAUGAUAAAGGAAACCCCAUCAUGUCUGCCAAUGCUUCCAUAAUCCAAGAGGACGAGAAACUCUACAGUCCUGAGAUCGUGGAAUCAAUCCAGUCGGCUCAGGCAGUGGAGUCCAAUCAAGUGUUGCGAGAGACAUGGGUGAGACAAGACCUGGAAAAGACUCCGUCACAGAUAACAUGACAGUGGUCUCCUUCACUCAUCGGCACCUGGGAUUAAAGGGCUGUCAUGUGACUUAGGUGACAACAAUACGUGUUUGCGUGAAAGUUUACCUGAUAACCCCUUGCAAUGUUCAGAAAGUCUUAAGUUAACCCAACACAUAUGCUGAUUAUUAGACAUAGUGCUCA
ensembl:lncRNA